UAGACAACUGUGGGCCAGCAAUACAUACUUCUCCUAGAAAUCCUUCAUGCAACACAUGCGGCUGAGAAUCUUCAGUAGGAAGUGAAACAACGCAUAUUGUUGCUGAUUGUAAUGGCACGCCAACUAAAUAAACCGUGGUUAACGCUUUGGAAGGAUUAAGCGUAACAUGUAUAGCUGCUUCUGUCGGACCAUAAGCAUUUACUAAACGUUCUCCCCAAAAGUCAAUGAUUCUAUUAGUGAGCAACUCACCGAUCGUUAUGAGCAUUCGAACACUUGUAAAUAAUUCCUUAUUUUCGUCAAGCGAGAUAACAUUAGCAACAGUGGGUGUUAGUUCCAAAGCAGCGAUUUUAUAAUCAUAUAUUAAAUACUCCAAAUUUCCGAUCAAGUUCUGCCUUUUCGAAGUCACCAACGUCAGACCGUUAUUCCAAUUUCCAAAAAUUUCAAAAACCGAUACAUCAAAGGUCACGUUGGCAAACUGCAACCAAGCAUCACCACGUUCAAGCCCAAACAUUGGAUAUAAAUACCCGUGGGAUUUGAUAGAAUUGGUAGCAGCUCGAUGAGAGAUUGCAACACCCUUGGGAUUUCCAGUUGAACCAGAUGUGUACAGAACAUAAGCAACGGAAUCAAGGCUUUCAGGAAAGGGAAAGGGGGGUAUCUCAUCAUCGACUUUGAUCUCCAUUGACUCAUUAUACUCAGGAACCUUUAAUAUAAUUGUGUUAUUAGGAAAUCGAUUAACAAACUCUUCAGAGACAAUAGCAAAAGACGCAUCAACAUCUUUACUGAUAAAGUGGACCCUUUCAGUACGAGUUUCUACAUCAAUGGGACAAUAAGCAUUACCACUGUAGAGGAUUGCAAGAAUACCAACGAAAAGAGCAGGUGAAUGAGAUACCAUAAUAGGAACUACCUCAUUCUUACAUGUAACGAGUUUGGAAAGUUUUAUUGCCAAAGAGUGAAGCUCGAGAAAAGAAAAUGAUCUAAAGGUAUCCUCCAGAUCAUCGCCAAUUUCAUAUAUAAACUUCAAAGCAUCUUGAUAAGGGUGAGAAAGAGUAUUAUGAUAAAAACACCCGUGUAAAUAAUUAGCAAGAGAUGAAGAGUUUAAGCAUAAAUCGGAACAAGGAGAAUUAAGGAUGGAGAAGGGGAGGUCGUAAUUAGUGAUUUUUGAGUUAAUCAUGAAAAAAAGUAAUCUUGCUAAAUCAUCAUCAAACAGAGACGAAUUCCAUUUUAAAGUAAGGAAAUUGGGAGAACAGACAAAGGCUAUGUCGGCAACCACAUCCAUAGAUCGAAAAGCGGUUAUGUCUGA